GCCUGAGUGGCGUAGUGGUUUAGGCAUUAGACUAGGAUACUGGGAGACCAGGGUUCGAGUCCCGGUUCUGUCA